AACUAUUUUAUAGCUCAUAACAUAAAUCAUUAAAUUAUUUUAUAAACUAAAACAAAACAUUUAAACAAUUAUAGUAUAGGUGAUAGAAAUUCUAAAUAAUAAUAACGCUAUAGAGAAAGUACCGCAAGGGAAAAUUGAAAGAACAAAUUAAGUAAUAAACAGCAAAGAUUAAAACUUGUACCUUUUGCAUAAUGAUUCAACAAGAAAAUACUAGCAAAAAGAAUUAAAGUUAGAUAACCCGAAACCAGACGAGCUACUUAUCAGCAGCCUACAGAGCAAACUCAUCUAUGUAGCAAAAUAGUGAGAUGACUGAUAAUUAGCGGUGACAAGCCUAUCGAGCCUGGUGAUAGCUGGUUGUCCAGAACAGAAUUUUAGUUCUAAUUUAAGCUUACCAUAUAAAUAUGAAAAUUUAAAUGUAUACUUAAAUAAUAAUCUAAAAGGGUACAGCCUUUUAGAUACGGAAUACAAUCCCUAUUAGAGAGUAAAUUUUACAAGCCACUAUAGUUGGCCUAAAAGCAGCCAUCAACUGAGAAAGCGUUUAAGCUCAACAGUAAAAAAGUUUAAUCCCACAAUAAAAACUAAACUCCUAAAACAUAACUGGACUAUUCUAUUUCUAAAUAGAAGAAAUAAUGUUGAUAUGAGUAACAAGAAAUUAUUUCUCCUUGCAUAAAUGUAUAUCAGAACGAAUAUAUCACUGAUAGUUACCAAAAUAAGUAUAAUCAAACAUUAGUUCACUAAUACCUAUUGUUGAACCAACACAGGAAUGCAAUUAAAGGAAAGAUUAAAAGAAAUAAAAGGAACUCGGCAAAUAUUAAACCCCGCCUGUUUACCAAAAACAUCACCUCUAGCAUAAAAAGUAUUAGAGGCACUGCCUGCCCGGUGACCAUAGUUUAACGGCCGCGGUAUCCUGACCGUGCAAAGGUAGCAUAAUCACUUGUUCUCUAAAUAAGGACUUGUAUGAAUGGCUUAACGAGGGUUUUACUGUCUCUUAUUUCCAAUCAGUGAAAUUGAUACUCCCGUGAAGAAGCGGGGAUAAAAAAAUAAGACGAGAAGACCCUAUGGAGCUUUAAUUAAUUAACUCACAAACUUUAAUAUUACCCUCUACAAGAAAUAAUCUAAUUUUAAUUGAGUUAAUAAUUUAGGUUGGGGUGACCUCGGAGUAAAAUAUAGCCUCCGAGAAAAAAUAUCAAGACUUACCAGUCAAAAUUAUAAAUUAUAACUGAUCCGCUACUAGCGAUCAACGAAAUAAGUUACCCUAGGGAUAACAGCGCAAUCCUAUUUGAGAGUUCAUAUCGACAAUUAGGGUUUACGACCUCGAUGUUGGAUCAGGACAUCCCAAUGGUGCAGCAGCUAUUAAUGUGUUCGUUUGUUCAACGAUUAAAGUCCUACGUGAUCUGAGUUCAGACCGGAGUAAUCCAGGUCGGUUUCUAUCUAUUAAAAAUCUCUCCUAGUACGAAAGGACCAGAGAGAUAAGGCCUACUUAUAAUUAAGCGCCCUAAUAAAACAGAUGAUUUAAUCUUAAUCUUAACAUAUUAAUUAAUCAUCCUAGAUACAGGAUAA
rnacentral:rRNA from 1 species